rnacentral:rRNA from 1 species
UGGGGAAUCUUGGACAAUGGGCGAAAGCCUGAUCCAGCCAUGCCGCGUGAGUGAAGAAGGCCCUAGGGUUGUAAAGCUCUUUUGGCGGGGACGAUAAUGACGGUACCCGCAGAAUAAGCCCCGGCUAACUUCGUGCCAGCAGCCGCGGUAAUACGAAGGGGGCUAGCGUUGUUCGGAAUUACUGGGCGUAAAGCGCACGCAGGUGGUAACGCAAGUGGGGUGUGAAAGCCGCCAGCUCAACUGGCGGAGGCCAUCCGAAACUGCGUCACUUGAGGCCUGUAGAGGUAUGUGGAAUUGCCGGUGUAGUGGUGAAAUGCGUAGAGAUCGGCAGGAACACCCAGGGGGAAGCCAGCAUACUGGACAGGUCCUGACACUCAGGUGCGACAGCGUGGGGAGCGAACCGGAUUAGAUACCCGCGUAGUCC